rnacentral:rRNA from 1 species
AGUGAACGCUGGCGGAAUGCUUUACACAUGCAAGUCGAACGGCAGCACGGGGGCAACCCUGGUGGCGAGUGGCGAACGGGUGAGUAAUACAUCGGAACGUGCCCGGUCGUGGGGGAUAACGGAGCGAAAGUUACGCUAAUACCGCAUACGAUCUGAGGAUGAAAGCGGGGGACCUUCGGGCCUCGCGCGCUCGGAGCGGCCGAUGUCAGAUUAGGUAGUUGGUGGGGUAAAGGCCUACCAAGCCGACGAGCUGUAGCUGGUCUGAGAGGACGACCAGCCACACUGGGACUGAGACACGGCCCAGACUCCUACGGGAGGCAGCAGUGGGGAAUUUUGGACAAUGGGCGCAAGCCUGAUCCAGCCAUUCCGCGUGCAGGACGAAGGCCUUCGGGUUGUAAACUGCUUUUGUAUGGAACGAAAAGGCUCUGGCUAAUACCUGGGGCUCAUGACGGUACCGUAAGAAUAAGCACCGGCUAACUACGUG